rnacentral:rRNA from 1 species
UGUUAGUGGAAGCGUCUGGAAAGGCGUGCGAUACAGGGUGACAGCCCCGUACACAAAAAUGCACAUAUUGUGAGCUCGAUGAGUAGGGCGGGACACGUGGUAUCCUGUCUGAAUAUGGGGGGACCAUCCUCCAAGGCUAAAUACUCCUGACUGACCGAUAGUGAACCAGUACCGUGAGGGAAAGGCGAAAAGAACCCCGGCGAGGGGAGUGAAAAAGAACCUGAAACCGUGUACGUACAAGCAGUGGGAGCCUCUUAAUGGGGUGACUGCGUACCUUUUGUAUAAUGGGUCAGCGACUUAUAUUCUGUAGCAAGGUUAACCGAAUAGGGGAGCCGAAGGGAAACCGAGUCUUAACUGGGCGUUAAGUUGCAGGGUAUAGACCCGAAACCCGGUGAUCUAGCCAUGGGCAGGUUGAAGGUUGGGUAACACUAACUGGAGGACCGAACCGACUAAUGUUGAAAAAUUAGCGGAUGACUUGUGGCUGGGGGUGAAAGGCCAAUCAAACCGGGAGAUAGCUGGUUCUCCCCGAAAGCUAUUUAGGUAGCGCCUCGUGAAUUCAUCUCCGGGGGUAGAGCACUGUUUCGGCAAGGGGGUCAUCCCGACUUACCAACCCGAUGCAAACUGCGAAUACCGGAGAAUGUUAUCACGGGAGACACACGGCGGGUGCUAACGUCCGUCGUGAAGAGGGAAACAACCCAGACCGCCAGCUAAGGUCCCAAAGUCAUGGUUAAGUGGGAAACGAUGUGGGAAGGCCCAGACAGCCAGGAUGUUGGCUUAGAAGCAGCCAUCAUUUAAAGAAAGCGUAAUAGCUCACUGGUCGAGUCGGCCUGCGCGGAAGAUGUAACGGGGCUAAACCAUGCACCGAAGCUGCGGCAGCGACACUAUGUGUUGUUGGGUAGGGGAGCGUUCUGUAAGCCUGUGAAGGUGGCCUGUGAGGGUUGCUGGAGGUAUCAGAAGUGCGAAUGCUGACAUAAGUAACGAUAAAGCGGGUGAAAAGCCCGCUCGCCGGAAGACCAAGGGUUCCUGUCCAACGUUAAUCGGGGCAGGGUGAGUCGACCCCUAAGGCGAGGCCGAAAGGCGUAGUCGAUGGGAAACAGGUUAAUAUUCCUGUACUUGGUGUUACUGCGAAGGGGGGACGGAGAAGGCUAUGUUGGCCGGGCGACGGUUGUCCCGGUUUAAGCGUGUAGGCUGGUUUUCCAGGCAAAUCCGGAAAACC